rnacentral:tRNA from 1 species
GUUAAGAUGGCAGAGCCCGGUAAUUGCAUAAAACUUNNNACUUUAUAACCAGAGGUUCAACCCCUCUUCUUAACA